UUUGUCCUCACAGGUUCUAAUUUGUCUUUUUCUUUGUUGCUUUCUGUCCAGGUUUCUUCCCAACUGCUGCCCUGCUCACCUAUAGCAGUUGGUUUCAGGCUCACCACUAGAUUUCCAUAAACUUCUUCCCCAGCUACCUCCGUUGCAUAAAAUGGACCAGUACUACGCAUACUGUUUUAUGCCUAGCUUUUUCACUUAACAAUAUAUCAUGGACACUCUUCAGGAGCAAGAUUAUGCCCUUAAUCUUGGUCCUGAGCCAUUGAUCUUGAGAGGAACCAGGCGAGCCCAUUGCUUCUACUGAAAAGUGUAUCUAAGUGUUGACCUCUGGAUAGGUGCCUGAUGGUUACUCCAACUGGUGAUGAGGGAAGAGGAAUAAAAGGUUAGACACACCCUGUUACAGGACUGAGGGCGGGGAGCAGUGCCUAUCCUAGGAAGUGUUUCUAUUCAAAUCUCGUUUAGGUGGGCAGGAAGGACAAGGUUUUGCCAGGCAACUGCCCUCAUCUCAGCAAAACAAGCUUCCUCCCUACCCCAUUCUCCUGUUGGCUAGCACAGUGCUUGUCCUGAAAAACAGGGUCCACAGAAAAAGAGUAGCAGCCCCUUUUGAUCUCUGCUUUUUAUUUGUAACAAACUGCUUUUUGACCUUCUAAGCAAGAGCUACCACACAGAGAGCUGUUUGAGUCUCUGGAUCAGGAAUUCAGGCUUGAUGUGUGGGUUAUAAGUUUUCUGAUGUCAACAAAAAUUUACCUAGAGAUUUACCAAGAUGCUGUUCCAGAGAUUUUCAUUGUAAAGGAAAAUUAUUGUGGAGAAAAUUAAAAGGUAUAGCAACAGCCUGAUGUUCACUUCUUGGAAAGUAUAGAAAAUAGUGAUGAAACAUGAGUAUAUAGGUAUAUAGAUACAGUUUUGAAACUUUGUUAAAGUAUAGCAUACACACAGGAAAGUGUCUAGACCAUAAGUAUACACUCUGAUGAAUUUUCACAAGCCAAAAACAUCCAUGUUACAACUUAAGAAUGAAGAAUUAUGAAAAUUCAAGCAUCUUGUGUUAUUCCUCUUAAAUAUUUUCGUUUAAAAUUGAGCUGAAAUAUUUAAGAAUCUAAAAAACAUGACAACCUCCUAUUUCCAACUUACAAAUGUAAAAUUGUAGAAGCACUGAAGAAAUGCUUGUUAUUAAUAAGAAAUGUUAUUAUUUCAGCAUUUUUACCAUGUAGCUCCAGAUGUUAAAACUGUAUGUUGCACAUUCUUGAUGUUUAUACAACUGUCACAUAGAUCAUGAUAAUUUAGAGCAAUUUGUCUCAGCCUCCUCUGUGCAGUCUCCUGGUCGGUUCCACAUAUGCUCUAUUUCUCCUUAGUGCUUCUCUGGCACUUCAGGCAGAAGUAACUUAACCUCUCAAGGCCUCGGUUGUCACAGCUGUAGAUGGGGCACAAUAACUGUACACACAGGAUUGUGCAUAUGAAAUUAUAAAAUGUAUAUAAAGAGGUGUACGUGACAUUUGCAUGUAGGAAUACGUUAAUGAAUGUUGUUUGUUAUUAGUACAUUAUGAAUGCCAAUAUCAGUUAAUGCCAUUGCUUCUGGGUUUGGGGAAGCAACAGAAAUAGCCACAUAAUUGUACUGACUAUGUAAUGUUCUUUUUCAGGACAGCCUAGGCCUGAAGUGAGGUUGCCAAAGUUAUGUUCUUUAUAGAUGGAAUAUGUUUCCUCUAGUGAGAGGCAGUUUACAUGUAGGCUUGUGGUUAUUAAUGUUUUUAACUGAUGAAUUAUGUUGGAAUUGGUGUAUCUCUGCAAAGAAUAUUUCCAAAUGGUCUUAAAGGAAUGUCAUGUAGCAUUUAUUACAGUCAUUGCAAUAGGGACACCUCCCACCUGCUUUAAUUUAGUGACAUUACUUCUGGUUAAAAGCCUUAGGUAAGGCCACACACAGUGGCCAGUGAUUUGGAUAAUUAGAAGGAAUGGCAGAGGCCUGUCUCUUUACAAGGAAGUUAGCAGUGACAUGCAAUUAAAGCAAACCUUUGGGGGAAGCCAGGUACCUCUAAGGAUUAUAGUAGAUUGGGUCAAAUCAAACAAUAUUUAUAGAAUUCUCUCCUUUCACAAAGAAUUUCUGCUUGCUUAUUUUUAAUAAAUUAUUUCAGAGAUAAUGAUGUUAUUUUACAUAAGUAGAGCAAGAAGAAAAGUAUAACUUAAGCUUUAUUUUCUCAUAAUUUUUUGUACUACACAGGCCAGCUGCAAACAGUUCACCUGAUGAAGCAUCUGAACCUUACAUUAUCAUGUAUGUAUUGGUGUGGUGUUUUCUGCUUUAAAAGGUGCUUUCACAUCCAUUACCUAGUACAAUCCCCACAACUGUAAGAGGCAAGGGAAGGAGUUAUUAUGAUGUCCUCUUCAAACAAAUAAAUGGAAGCUGAGCUCUGAUAAGGCAUUUGUCAUAGUCCUUUUAUGGUUGAGGCAAGACUAAAAGUUGAGUUUUAUGACUCAUGGUGUAAUGCUCUUUCCAACAUAUGGAACUGUUUUCUCAAACAUAAAUGUAUGUUCUUACUUUCUGUGCUUUCCAAGAGUACAGUUUUCUUUCUCUCCCUGAGAUGCUGGGGUGGUCAUGAGUGCCUUGGAGAAUAAGCUGAAAGCCCUAGACUUUGUCUUCAGAGAAAAAAUGGACAUACUCACACAGGUAAAAAUUGACAUUCACCUUCAGGCCGUCUCCUAAAAUCUGCCUGGGUAAUAGAAUAGGGUGUCUGGUAAAAUACUAGCCUGGGCUUGACUCCAGCCGGGUGGGGGCACCUGGCGUUCUCAGUAAAGAAGACAAAAGCAGGAGCCAGCAUACCAUUAAUGUUUACUUAGCCCUUACUCAACACUAGGUGCUGCACUGCACACGUCAUGUUGGUUCAAACCCCACAACAACUCUUGAAGCUGAGUGUUAUUAUUGGAUUCAUUUUAUGGAUGAGGACACUAAGAACAUCUCACCUGAAUUCGAAGCCAGAUGUCCACUUUCCCCCACUCUGCUACACAGCCUCCCAAAGUGAUAACUACGUGUCAGUGCUGAGUUGUUUCUCUGGUCGCUGGCCCAUGCCUGUGUGCGGUGGUGUGGCUGGGAAGGUGGAAAGGGUUUUUUUUUUUUUUUUUUUUUUGAAGCUUUUAGCAGUAAGGUUCCUUGGGGAAAUUGUGUUCUUGGGGGUGCCAGGUUAGAACUGUUAACGACCGUAGAAAUGUGAAGUGUGAAAAGUGUUCAGAUACAGGGACAGAAAAGAACAGGGCAGCAUCCAAUGGGUGGUCCAUUUCUCCUGGGACAUGUGUUGGAUGUUCAGCUGUCAUAUUAAUGUUUAUGUAUACCAUGCUACAUGUUCUCGCUGACUUGGCAAAUGAUUCACAAAGUUACUGAAAUGAAUGAAGUAAACUUCUCAUGGGUAGACCUGGGGCUGGGGAAAAGGAAAAGGGAAGUGCCUACAUUUGGGGUUUCCUGAACCGUAAAUAAUGAUCGUGUUGCCAUUCCCAGCAAUAUGCUUCUGUCAUUAAUUAAGUUUUAUGGAAAGCUAUGGCGUUCAUGACUUUGGCCUCUUCCCGCUCUUGAUCUAUGUGGUGUUAUGUGGUGUAGACAGCAGUGCUCAUAGGUGGGAUUUGUCUGACAGGGGGAUUUGAAUUAGUCUGAUGUAAAGUGCCUGCUAAUAUAUGGCAUGCCACUGCACUGGGUGAGUAGGAAGGGAGAAAGCAAUGAUGAUGUUCCCCCCUGUUGCCGCUGAUUAUUUUUCCAGCACCUAUACAAGGAAUCAGAAUCCUGUUUUUUGUUAGGCUUAAUUUUAAGGUCAGAUUUUUUUCUGGUGUCGUUGAGAGAGUUGGGCUGCCACUCAGAUUCAGCAGCGUGGUGCUGUGUACUUGAGAGAAGGGUCCAUAAGGUUGGGAGUAGCGGGAGAUACUGGCCCCUCCGCACUCAUCAGGCUCAAACAUGUUCAAGACCCCAGCAAAAGAAGUCUGAGUGGAGCUUUUUGAGGUGGCCUACACCAGUGUUAACAAUGCUGCCAAAAAAUUAUCUCUCACCAUUGACCUAAAGCCCUCCUGCUAGGUUUUCAGAGCAGUGGUUUUUAAAAUAUUAGCGUACAUCAGAUCACCCGAAAGGCUUGUUAUAGCACAAAUUGCUGGUCCCCCUGCUCAGAGUUUCUGAUUUCAUAGGUCUACGGUGGUACCUGAGAAUCUGCAUUUGUAACAAGGUCCCAGGUGAUGCUGAUGGUGCUGUUUCAGGAGCCAAACUUUGAAAACUACUGCCUUAAACUGACUAUAAGGGCAGCAGUUAAUAAUAUGGGUUUGGGAGUUAGACAGCUCUGAAUUCAAAUCCUGUUCUGCCACUGUGAAAUUCUAGAAAAGCUGCCAAGCCCAGGCUUCCUCACCUGUAGAAAGGGAAUUACAAACGUUUUGUUUGUUCUGUUUUGGUUUGGUUUCGUGAGGACUGAAUGAGAUAAUCUAUGUGAAGUGCUUAGCACAGUGCCAGGCACAUGGAGGUGACAUUACAGAUGUGAGCUCAUGCUAUUGAUAUAUUCUGCCUCUUAGAGCAAGGCCUCAAGUAAUGUGGCCCGCAUGUUAGGGCAAAGACACCAAGCUUAAGGAAUCUCUUUAAAGUUAAGAAGUCAGAGAAAAUGUAGGAGAGAAGAAUCAGUAAAACGAAGACCAUGGGACUUCUAUUCCUUAAGGCUUUCUGAUGUCUUGGGAAAUAGAAAAGAAAACAAGCAAAGGUAUCUAUUUUGUAAUAAGCAGUGAGAAAGUCACUCUCCACCAAGAGAUGCCUUAGGAAGAUGGGAUUGAAAUGGGAAUCCUGAACUGACCAUUGGGGCUAUUAGCAUUUCACAUGUAAAUUCCAAUAAAGUGUCAGAUAUGCAGAGGUUAGUGGACUUUUUUUCUAAAUGGGCUUUAUAAGUAAAAGGAUAAAGGUUACACAAACCAGGGAGAGCAGCAUACAACAGAGGGAUGCAGCAUUUUGUACAAGUGUGUUAGUCGGGAUUCUCCAGAGAAACAGAGCCAAAGAAGAUAGAUAUUUAUCUAUGUAAAUACAUAGAUAAUAUAUUUUUGGCCCAUGUCUUAUGCAAUUAUGGAGGCUGAGAAGUCCCACGAUCUGUAAGCUGGAGACCCAGGAAGUCUGAAGGUGUCUUUUGAAGUCCUGAGAGCUGGAGAGCUGGAGACUGGUGUAGAUUCCAGUCUCAGUCUCAGAGCCUGAGGACCAGGAGUGCUGAAGGCAGAAGAUUGACAUUCAGCUCAAGGAGUCAGAAAGCAAAUUUAACUUUCCUCUGCCUUUUUGUUCUAUUCACUCACUCAACAGAUUGGAUGAGUCAUGACUACAAUGGGGAGGGCAAUUUGCUUUCCUCAGUCUACCAAUUCAAUCUGAUCUCUUCCAGAAACACCCUUCCAGGCAUACCCAGAAAUAAGUUUAACCAGCUAUCUGGGCAUCCUUUGGCCCAGUCAAGUUAACACAUAAAAUUAACCAUCACAACAUGAGACAUAUAUUUACAAAGAUACUGUGUGCUGGGGCCAGUUAUGAAGCAAGUAAUGUUUAUCAUCCUGGAGCCAACCCACAACUGUCUUCAUCUUAUUUCUGGAUUUUGAUGGGCUCUUUGCUCAGUGGAGUGAAUUGUAACUUUCUAUCUCCUCAAGCUCUACCCCACUGGCAAAAUAAUUACCGAGAAAAUAUUUACAAAAAUUAAUUGCUAGCUAGUGUAAAUUAUAUCUUAAACUAUGACUACUCCCUAGGAUAGUAUUUUCCAAACUGUGUUUCCAGGGACUAUGAAUAGGUAAUGGGUAGAACAGGCAUUCUUGAUGAAACACACAAAUGUUCUUGUCAAGAACACCCAAGGAUCUCAGAAGUCCUGAAGUUUUUUUAAAAACUCUGCUUAAUUUUGAUUAACUCAGUGGUGAUUGUCCCUUUUUAAAAAUUGUAUCUGUAUUUUAAAAUUUUUUCUAUAAUGAGUUAGUAUUACUUUUAAAAGAAAAUAUGGAUCAGAUUUUACUAGAAUGAAAAAGAAUAUAAUUUAGGCCACCAAAUGUAGCUUCUAGCUUUCUUUAGUCUCCACCCUAUUCUUCCUUUACUUCUGUGGGGGAACCAAGGACAGCAUGAUGUCAGAUUCUAAAAUAACAAAUGCUUCAUAAAAUUUCCUUUUUGAAAAGAUAACUGAAUUAGGAUAGUUUGUAUAACCAUUGAAUGAUUCAGAUGCUUGCCCUUUUGGGAAUCCCCUUCAUCCAAGUUAAAGGAAUGAAGCAACAAGCCAUCUGUGCAAUUAACUGCUCAACCUAAUUACUCUAAAGAAGUGAGUCAGUCAAAUCCUGGGACAUUCAAAACUUCCAGUGGACAGGGGUGCCACAGAAUCUGGGAACCACAUUCAACUUUUCUAAGCUUGAGCUUAGACAGCUGGUCAGAGAUGUUAUGGCUACAUUUGUAGGCAACAACUCAAGGAACUGGCUUUUCCUGAGAAAGGAGAUUUUCUCCCCAGAUUGCUUUCAGAACAAACCGUAAAGGGAUAACCCCACAUUCUUUGAAAAUCUUUAUUCCUGAGAAGUGUUUAAAAAUUUUCAAGUGGGGCAUGGUGUGAUCUAUAGGCUAUUCUUCGCGAGGAGGGACCGUUUGGUGUGUCUGAAAUCUUGAGGAUAAUCAAGGACCCAACACUCUUAGGUGAAAUGCCUUUGGAGAGAAACUGAAGUCUGCUACAAUUAGAUUAGAAAGAAACACGUUUGACAUUCUAGAAAGCAAAUUUAGGCUGUUGAAUCCAACAGUGUGGGACAAUGUUUCCAAUUGGCAAUGAAUAGGCUAAAUGAUUCUUGUCUCUCUUUGGUGGAAGUGAAAUAGAAUACUAAUUGAGCAAGUAUCACUCAGAUAAGCAAAGUAAAUUGGACUUCAGUCUCUAGUGGGUUUUGAGGUUAUGACCACACUUUGAGCUCCUGGAGGGGUGCCACUCCAGGUAACAAUAGGCCAUUUGGGCUUUCCUGAACGGGGACCUUCAGGCAGAAUAAAUUCAAACUUAAGAAAAGUCGGGCAGAGGAGAUACUGUGCUGACCUGCCCAGAACACUGACGAUUUAAUGACAAGAACUGGCAAGUGUAAUUUUGGUUAAAAUGUAAUUUCUUACUGGAAAAAAAUGGUUUUUGUCUUAAACAAUUUGGAAAUUUAAUGAAAAAUUCAAUAUUCUUCAUUCUUAAGUAGUCUGCCCUUCAGUAUAAAACGGCCAAAUAUCCCCUACCAAAAAGAAGAACAAGGAGAUAGAGGAAAAUGAGAGCUGGGCAAGGACCACACUGUCACGAAUGGUACACUGAGCACCACUGCAGUGCCCAUCCCAUGCACCUGGCCAACAGCAAUGGUGGAACCUAGUACCCAGCAAAGUGCAUGCUGAGCUUUCUUCUGCCUCAUGGUACCAGAAGCAAGUUUCAGUGACGCGUGUUCCCUCUCAUUCCUUGGGACAAAUUGUCCUAGUGAGAGAAAGCUCUAAUACUCAUGCACAAGACAUUCCAUGACAGUAACGAUAACACUUACUCACAUUUACAUUUAUAUGUCUGGUCUUUUCUCUAUCUGUUUCUCAGAAAGAAAACUCAAAUACCGGACUGUCUGGUUUAAAACCAGACACAUGGCAACCCUAUUUACUAAAACUUUACUGCUGGGCACUGUGCUAUUUGCUUUCACAUAUAUUGUGUCUUAUUCAAUCCUUGUAAUGGUUCUGUGAGUAAAGUAGGAUUCCUAUUUUACAGAUGAGGAAGCUAAAGCUCAGAGAGGUUAAGUAGUGUGCUUACAGUCACCCAGAUAGUUAUUGGAUAUGGUACUGUGACCCUAGAAUGUUUGACCUUACAUUUCUUUAUUUUUCUUUGAUAUUUGAUGCAUUGAAAUGAUUCAAGAGUUCUUGAAAUCUGUCAUCAAGUUUUUCCUUGGUUGAAGUUUGGAUAUGGAACACUUCAAAACAUAAUAGCACCCUUGGGAUCUCAGAAAGUAUGUUGUCUAUGAAGUAUUAGGAAAAGAUUCGAAGAGUGGCAUCAAUAAUCAACUGUUAAUAAAUUUGAAAGAGCCACAUUUUGCAAAAAAACAAAAAGAAAUUCCACCAACAAGACCAUGAAAGGCUGAAAGAAUUACAGGCUUUGACAAUGAAUGGUAUCCCCAUGCCUUGGUCAGGAGCCAUCUCAGAGUCUCAUCUUAGUAAGUUGCAAAAUCUGCCCAAUUGCUGUCACCUAUUGGCUACUGGAUACCUAGUUUGAUUAGAUUUUCAGGCUCUUUAUUGUUUCCUUUUAAAACUUUCAAAUGAUUUUGUGCAAUGAAUGGAACCAGAUGGAAAUACACUGAUACCUCUUUCAUCUUCCUAAGCAAAUGCCCAGGGAAAUCAUGUGACAGUUUUCCAAUUGCAGAUUUUUCCAAUGGUGUGAAUCUUUUAGGCCAGGAUUCCUGGAGGUGUGAACCGAUUUUUUCCCAAGAGACUUUUCACUGUCCCUUGCACUGACAAAUUGGAGCUUCCUGUGAAGGUAGCAUUUCACAACAAAACUUCAAGAACUAUCAGCUGUAUUACUGAUACAAACUUGACUAAUUCGUCUCUGUUUCAAUCUUGGGCAAUAAAAAGUACUUCUGAAAUAAUGUUGUCUUAAAAAGUGUCUUUAUUCAUUUUAGAGUUGACUUAUGGUUGCAUAUAUAGCCAUUUCUACUUUCAAUUUAGCCAGAGGCAUUUUUUCUUGAACUUCUGAAGAUGAUACAACUCCUAGAUUUUACUGUCGUAGUGCCAGGUUGUGGGAACUCUUCCUUGACUUCACUUUAAUAGGUGUGAAGAGUGCAUGACUGUUCUGCUUUUGAAUUUGCAUUUGGACUGCUGAAUUUGUACGCAGAGCACCGAUGAAAUUCUUGGCAGCAUGAGCAAAAGUUGGUUUAUCCACGAUGACAUGCAGGCUUUCUGGGGAUGAGUAUUUCCUUUUAGUAAGAGCAGACAGCCCGUCUAUUAGAAGCUGCCCCCUAGUUUCUGAGGCACAUGGAGCUAGACUAGGGUAUUUUAUUGGGUCAUUAGAAAUGUGACAUUUGGAUUGACCAACAGGCUCAGAAAUUCCCCAAAUUGUAGGGUUGAGAAAAGGGUGCAGUUCUUGGUAGUGUAAUACCCUCAUCAGUCUGUGGAUUCUUUUUAUGAAAUUUAAGUUCCUUAACAAUAAUUGAUAGAACAGAUAAUAAGCCCUUUUGCAAACAAUCUGAUGUGUUAUCAAAUACCCUCAUCUUAAAUGAAACAAGAAUAGUGAGAGGCUUUAGAAGAACAUAUGUUGUGCCUCACAGAUGUUCAGGGACACAGCUGGAAUGUGUUUAGGGUAACUUAAUCUUAUAUGCUUCAGAAUACUAGAAGCCUCUCAGCAUGUGUAAAUGGUGAGGACUCUUUUAUUCACAAGAAUAGAAAUCCACCUCAAAUAAACAAGAGCAACAAAGGAAACUUGCUGGGGUGUAGAUCAGGGGAAGCCUAAGGCUGGAACUGUCUUUGUAGGCUACAACAAUCCAAAUGAUGUUGUUGGCUUUUUCUGUCUUUUACUUGCUCUUGCUUUUCUCCUUCAGCCCAAGGGCUUCCUUCUUUCAUGUAGACAGCUUUAGAAUUACAUCAUCCAGUUUAACAGUCCCAUGAAGAACUAAAAAAAGCUUCAUUCUCUCAGAGUCUUACAUAAAAUCUAAAAGGACUUCAAUUUGUCCAGGAGUGUUAUAUGCUAAACACAAGCUCACCAUUUCAAUAAAUGUUUAAGACACUGGUUCAGGCCGUAUGAAGAAACUGAAAAAUAUCCUUGAUCUCCAACAAGAAUGUAGAAGGUGUAGGACAUGAACAAAUAUGUAAUUUGAGGCAGCAGGUGAUAUAUAGAGAAGAGACAACUAAAACAAUGAUGGAAAUCAGACAAGUCAGCUGAAUGUGACGCAAGCACUUUUUUUUUCUUUUUUUUUUUUUUUUUUUGACGGAGUCUUGCUCUGUCACCAGGCUGGAGUACAGUGCUGUGAUGUCAGCUCACUGCAACCUCUGCCUCCUGGGUUCAAGCAAUUCUCCCGCCUCAGCCUCCCGAGUAGCUGGGACUACAGGCACGCGCCACCACGCCCAGAUAAUUUUUUGUAUUUUAGUAGAGAUGGGGUUUCACCAUGUUGGUCAGGCUGGUCUCGAACUCCCGACCUCAGGUGAUCCACCCGCCUCGGCCUCCCAAAGUGCUGGGUUUACAGGCGUGAGCCACUGCGCCCAGUCCCGCAAGCGUUUUCAUGAAGAAAAAUAUUUCAUGUUUUUUGAAGAGUAGCUUCUAUUUAAGUGAUGGAGAAGGAGGGGCAAGGGGAGAGUCAUUCCAGGAAGAAGCCAUGGUAUAAAGAUUGGCAAAGAAGCAGGAAAAAGGGAAGAGUUAGGAGCUUGUUUUGAAUAAAAUAUAGAUUUUAUUUUAAAAAGAAUUCUGAGCUAAAGUUAGUCAGAAAUGUUGAUAUUAGAUCAUAGAAGACUGUAAGUUUUCAGCUUUAACCUAAAUUAUUUCCACUUUUCCCAGAAAGCUUUGUAGAGUCAGUGAAGAUUUUAGAGCAAGCAGAGGCAGGAUCAAGUAAUUCGUCAGAGUUUUGAUGGCAGUGAUAAGGAGGAAGGACUGGAUAGAGAAUCUACUUAACACAAUUUCAAGAAAUGAAACCUAACCAUAGAUAAAUGGGGGACAGCAGGGCAUCCUGAAUGUGUGACUAGAAGGAAUGAGAUUGCUUUUUUUUUUUUUUAGUCAUUCUCACUCUGUCCCCAGGCUGGAGUUCAGUGGCACAAUCUUGGCUCACUACAGCCUCCACCCCCAGGUUCAAGCGAUUCUCCUGCCUCAGCCUCCCUAGUAGCUGGGACUACAGGCAUGCACCACAACAUCCAGCUAAUUUUUUGUAUUUUUAAUGGAGAUGGGGUUCGCCAUCUUUGCCAGGCUGGUUUCAAACUCCUGACCUCAAGUAAUCCGCCCCUUUCAGCCUCCCAAAGUGCUGGGAUUACAGGUGCAAGCCACCACGCCAGGCCAAGAUUGCUUUUUUUAAAGUAAAGCUCUAAGUCUCUUACACAGGGUUUUGGAUGAUGGCUACAGAUUGGAAGCCAAUAUCAAACUUUAUGUGUAUCACAUGGCUCUGUCUUGUUUUCUAUGCUCAGGUCUAUGUAUUUUAACCAAUGGCUGGACAUUUCCUUGUAUGUCCCAUCACCACCUCACACUCAGUACCUCCUCUCGGCUCCUCUUUUUGUGAAGGCAUCACUAGCAAUUUAGGCAUGGUCAUUCCUAGGAAUAGAUACCAACUUGGGUGAAUCACAAUAACUUCCUCUAACUCUAGCAUUUUUAUGUGGGUAGAAAUCAAGUUAAAAUGAGCAUGCAGGACAAACUGGGAGGGGAGACAAGGCACACAAACGUCAUCUGCAGCCUUAGGUCCUGGAUUCAGAGGCAUAGGGCAGCCCACCCUCUGUGUAGGCCAUGUGAGCCAGGUGGAAUGAGCUAAAAGUCCCAAUGCAGACAAUCAGCAGACAGGAGCCCCAAAUCUUUUGAGCAGUGGCUGGGUGGAGACUCUUCUUUCACCUCUAGUAGCUGAGACAUGUCCAAACACAAGCCCCCAUCUUGUAUCUUAGAAGCCUCCACUAGGCUUCAUCUGUGUCCAUGUGUAUUAAUUUAAAUACAGGUCAGCUGCUAUAACCGAGACCCCAAAACAAUAGUGACUCAAAUCAGAUAGAGUUUUAUUUUUCUCAGGUAGUAAUAGAAACAUAAGCAGCCCAGGGCUGGUGUGGUGCCUCACAGUAUCAGUCAUUUAAGCUCCUUUACACACUAUAUCUCAUGGUCUCAGUGUGUCCAUGGUCCCACCAGCAGGAAGAAGAGGCGCCCUCUAAGGGUGCAAUCUGAAAGUUGUACACACUGCUUCCUCUCACAUCCCAUUGGUUAAUACUUGGACAAAUGCUACACAGAGCUAGAAAUGCUACAGCUGUGUGUUCAGCUCAUAACAUAGCUGACAUGUACAUAGCGCUCCCUGGAAACCAAGCACUAUUCUAAGAGCUUUAUACAAACUGACUUACAACAAUUCUAUAAGGUAAGCACAAUUGUUAUUCCCACUUUUCAGGUAGGGUAACUGAGGCACAGAGAGGUAGAAUACCUCAGCAAGGUCAUCAGAUAGUAAUUGAUGGUGGUGAAAUUCAGACCCUCACAGGCUGAAUCCGAAAUUUGUGAUCUUGACCAUUCUGCAAUGCUGCCUCUAAAAUCCAGGGUUUGGUUACUAAAGGAAGAGAGGGAGAAUGAAAACUGGAGGACAACAGUUAUCACUACUAUUGCACUCCAGCAUCCACAUUUGUCACCCACAGCGAUGGCUCCAAGCUUUGGAAUUCUCUCCCUUGUCCCUCUAUUCCUUCUAGUUUUCCAGCACACUCCUAUUCACAACAGCCUACAGCCCCUGCCUCACAUCCCUGCAGAAAUGGCUACCAUGGUAACUUCUGGUCUAACCUCCUGGCUUCCAACUUUUCCACACCCCAGCCUCCCAGAUACCUCUUGACCAAAAGAAUCUGCCCCAAAUACCACUUUUGUUCUGCCAUGCCCCUCUUUAGAAAUCCCCAGAGGAGAAGCACCUCUUAAUUGGAUCAAUUUCCUUCUAAGCCUGGCUUUCAGGCCUCUUCAUCAUUUGGUUCCAAACAUAUAUUUCAAACUUACAGAUCUCUCCUCAGGGCCACACGAAACUCUCUACACCUUUCAGAUUGAUCUAAUUAUGCCAUGUGUACUCCUGAAACUCAGCUGUCUGGAUAGAAAAGGAAGAGUCAUCUAUAUAUUGACACAGGCAUUUUGCUUAAGUCAUUGACCACUGAGAAGGGCCAAGCCUUGCUCCUGUUUGCUUGUCUGAAGUCUACCCAUUCCAGCUUGGUCCUGUCUGCCUAGGGGGUAACUCAGAGUUCUGCACCGCUCGCACUGAAUGAAUAUGCACUCAGUGGCUCGCCUUCCAACAUAGCGGUGCUCACUCCUCCCCCUGUCCUCACUGCUAUUCCCCCUGCCUGGUCAAUGGUGUUGGCCGUCUUUCUGUGUAUGUCACCUUGCAUCUCAUGGAGACAGAGGCCAAGUUUUAUCCUAUUGUGACCCCCCCCCCCCACUGCACUGAGACACUCAAUAUACUUUGUUGAUUGAUUGAUAAUUUGUACUAAGUGGCUUCUUUAGUCACCCUUGAGAAUCCCUAUAAGUAACAUAACUUGAAAAACAAUUGUCCAGCUAGUGGACAAUUAUGCUACAUUAGCAGGCAGGAUUGCCUAAUGUUAAAAGUAACAAACUAAGAAUCUUUACCCUUUUUCUCUGCUGUGGAUGUGCACUGUCCAUUUUAGAUCAGUCAGAGAAUGUAGUUACAGUUUUAGAAGAAUAUUUGAUCCUCAGAAGGACACCUUCCUGUAUUUUGUAUAAACAAAAGUAUUCAAUAUCUCCUCAAUUACUUGCAGAUGCCUUUGAGCUCAAAUUGAACACUAGCUAUCUCUUCUCAAGCAUCAGCUUUAACAUACAGGGAAGGAAGCCAAUGGGCAUGAAUGGAAGAGCUUGAUUUCAGAAAGGAUGGGAUUAUGUGCUUCUGGAAUGAAGGAGGAGGAAUGUGCUUUUUAAAGGGAAACCUUUCAGAACCCUUGUUUGUGUGCUUGGCUCCAGAGUAAGAGGGAAGAGGUGGUGACAAGAAUAUAUUUUAAAGCCAGGGCGUUGUUAGCUUGUCUUAGACUUCUGAGCUUUUAGAGUGUUUGUUCAGGAGGUGGUUUCCAAGGUUUUACAACUUUGCUAAAAACAUUUGGUCUCCUCUUUAGAUCUAUUCGGCUGAUAUCAUUUUUAGUGACUUCCGAGGCAGUAUUGUUGCUAAGAAUUGAUACAGCAAUGAAUCUUUACUAGUGCCCAUCAAAACUGGACUUUUGUAUCUCACAUUUUACUCUGGGCUUUUUUUUUUUUUUUUUUUGCCUUUUUUAGAAAUUCCCUGGAAACCAGCUUUGUCUUGUCAAUUGAAUAACAAGCACGGAAUUUAUAUAAUCACUGCCUUGUCACAGUACAACUGAUUAGCAUCUUCUGGUUAAAUGCAAAUUGUCCAUCCUUCAGUUCAAUGACAUUUGCCUCUCUUUAAAGGAACAGCACUAAAGCAACUUGUAGACAUGACUGUUUGUUUAGCUUGGUUUCUCUCUUUGAUCUCAUGUUAACAUACCUUAAUGGCAGGUAAUGAUUGAUAAUAGAGUAUUGUAAAGUUCAGGUAAUAAAUACUGCUUAACUCAUAAUAAUGCUGAAUAAUGUACUUUUUAUGACUUGGUUUGAUGGAAAAUUUCCUUGUCAGCUUGGUCUAAUUGUCCAAACAAAACCACCCAUUACUUGAAGAAAUACAUGUCCACCCUAGACACAUUAAUUAGGGUCAUGGCUGGGCUGCAAGAAGGAAUAUAGUAACACUUUAGUUACUUAAAUAUAAUCUUUGGACAAUCUUACUAAUGCCAAACUCAGAUUUAAUGAGGAACUCUUGUUUACACUUGCCCUUUGAGGCUCAUGGGCCUAGGUUGAAACCUCUGGUGAUGGCUGUAGCCACAUGUACACACACUGCGGUCUUUUCUUUGAGGUUACCAGAAAUCAUCAAUUCUAGUGGUUUGAACAUUGAAAGUCACAACAGGAAGUAUCUUUAUCUUGGCACAGGGGGUGAGGAGAUUUCUAUGAAGAGAAAAAGGAAUAUCUUUUUAAUUGUUUAUGACUGGAUAUCUGAAAACAGUAAGCAUCAGCUAGUACUGAGUUUAGAGUAAAAAGGGGAUUUGGUAUCUUGGCAGUGACAAGCUCAGGUGCUGUACAUUAAAGUAUUUAGCCAAGUCCUACUUGCCCAAGUAUGGAAUUUCCACAAUGUUUCAUUAUCUUGGAAGUCCCAGGAAUAUUCCAGAGAAUACAGUACAAUAGAAACCCAGGAAUCCCAUUUACAAUAGCAAUAAAAUAAAAUAAAAUAAAAUACUUAAGAACAAAUUUAACCAAGAAGGUGAAAGAUCUAUACACUGAAAACUAUAAUACACUGAUACAAGAAACUGAGGAAGACACAAAUAAAUAGAUUUUCCAUGUUUAUUGAUUGGAAGAAUUAAUAUUGUUAAAAUGUCCAUACUACCCAAAGCAAUCCAUAAAGUCAGUGCAAUCCCUAUUAAAAUUCAAAUGACCAUUUUUUUGUAGAAAUAGAGAAAAUGAUACUAAAAGUCUUAUGGAACCACAAAAGAUCUCAAAUAGCCAAAGGAAUCUUUCAGCAAAAAGAACAAAGCUGGAGACAUCUCAAAAUUUGCUACAAAACUAUAAUAAUCAAAACAGGAUGAUACUGGCAAAAAACAGACAUAGAGACCAGUGGAACAGAAUAGAGAAUCUAGAAAUAAAUCUACACAACAACAGUCAACUACAAGCAACUUUGACAAAGGUGACAAGAACAAAUUAUGAGGAAAGGAUAACACCUUCAAUAAAUGGUGCUGGAAAAAUUGGAUACCACAUGCAAAAGAAUAAAAUAGGACCCUUAUCUCACCCCAUAAGAAACACAAACUUAAAAUGGAUUAAAGACUUAAAGUUAAGACCUGAAACUGUAAAACUACUAGAAGAAAACAUAGGGAAAGUCUCCAUGACAUUGGUCUGGGCAAUAAUUUGUCGGUUGUGACCACAAAAGCAUAGGCACCAAAAGCAAAAAUAGACAAAUAGGAUUGCAUCAAACUAAAAAGCUUCUGCACUGCCAAAGAAACAAUCAACAGAGUGAGGAGACAUCCUAUGGAAUGGGAGAAAAUAUUUGCAAACCAUACAUCUGAUAAGGGACUAAUAUCAAAAAUAUAUAUGGAACUUGAACAACUCAAUAACAAGAAAACAAAUAGCCCAAUUUUAAAAAUGGACAAAGGAUCUGAAUAGACUUUUCUCAAAAGAAGACAUAACAAUGAUCAAUAGGUAAAUUAAAAAUGUUCAACAUUACUAAUCAUCAGGGAAAUGCAAAUUACAGCAAUGAGAUAUCACCUCACACCUGUUAGAAUGGCUUCUAUCAAAAAGAUGAAAUGUAAGUGCUGGCAAGGAUGUGGAGAAGAGGGAACCCUCAUAUAUUGUUUCUGGGAAUGUACAUUAGUAUAGCCAUUAUGGAAAACAGUAUGGAGUGAUAUGGUUUGGCUAUGUCCCCAUCCAAAUCUCAUCUUGAAUUAUAGCUCCCAUAAUCCCCACAUGUCAUGAGAGGGAUCUGUUGGGAGGUAAUUGAAUCAUGGGGGCAGGUUUUUCCCAUGUGGUUCUCAUGACAGUGAAUAAGUCUCACGAGAUCUGUUGGUUUUAUCAAGGGCAGUUCUCCUGCACACACUCUCUUGCCAGCCACCAAGUAAGAUGUGCCUUUACUCCUCCUUUGCCUUCCACCAUGAUUGUGAGGCCUCCCUAGCCAUGUGAAACUGUGAGUGCAUUAAACUUCUUUUUCUUUAUGAAUUACCUAGUCUUGGGUAUUUCUUCACAGCACUAUGAAAAUGGACUAAUAUAGGAGGUUCCCCCCCCAAAUUAAAAAUAACUACCAUAUGAUCCAAAAAUUUCGUUUCUGAAUAUAUAUCCAAAGGAAAUGAAAUCAGUAUGUUGAAGAUACAUCUGCAUUCAUUUCAUUUGAAAUGUUCAUUUUAGCAUUGUUUAUAGUAGUCCAGAUAUGGAAGCAACCUAACUGUUCAAAAGUGAAUGACUGGAUAAGGAAACUGUGGUAUAUAUGCAUGAUGGAAUACUUUUCAGCCUUUAUAAAGAAGGAAAUCUUGCUGGGUGAGGUGUUCCCACCUGUGACCCCAGCUAUUUGGGAGGCUGAGGUGAAAGGAUUGCUUGAGACCAGGCAUUGGAGUCUGCAGUGAGCUACGAUGGCACCACUGCACACCAGCCUGGAUGACAGAGCAAGAUCCCAUCCCUAAAAAUAAUUUUGUAGAGAAUAAAGAAUUCCUUUUUUUUGCAAGAACAUGUAUGAACCUGGAAGGCAUUAUGCUAAGUGAAAUCAGCCAGGCACAGAAAGAAAAAUACUGCAUGAUCACAUUUACAUGUGGAAUCCAAAAAUGUCAACCACUUAGUAGUAGAGAGUAGAAUGGUGUCUACUGGGGUCUGGAGUGAGUAUGGUUGGACAGAUGCUGGUCAAAGGGUACAAAGUUUCAGUUGGACAAAAGAAAUAAGUUUUGGAGAUCUGUUGUGUAGCAUGGUGACUAUAGUUAAUAAUAAUGCCUUGUAUACUUAAAAGUUGCUAAAAGUAGAUUUUAAAUAUCCACAACACAAAAAAAUGGUAAGAAGGUGAGGUGAUAAGUAUGUUAAUUAGCUUGAUUUAAUCAUUCUAAAAUGUCUACGCAUAUCAAAAAUCACAUUGUGUACCCCAUAAAUAUAUAAAAUUUGAAAAGAAAAAUAAAAUAAAAGAGAUAUUUGCUGGCCAGUUUGGGGGAAAAAAGACAAAGAACUUCAGGAGAUGGCCAUGUGGGCUUUUAACAAAAUGACCAAUGUAAAAUCCAAGGUUUAAUCAGGUCUUUGAGAAAAGGUGCUUGAUUUUAAAGUUUGGAAAUGAUUCCAUUCAUGAUUCCAAAGAAUAGCAGUUACCAGACUCAAUUCAGGAGCUAGUUUCCUACAUAUUAUAAAAAAAGAGCAUGUGUUUAAUCUUUCAGAUUUGAGCCAAAUUGUCAUCUUGUUGAAGAUAGGCUCGUAUCUCAUUUAAUACCCACAUUUUUAAGGAAACUCACAAGAAACUCACAAUGGGAAAAAUUCAUUUCCAUAUUUUUGUAAUCACAUCAUUUUCUUUCCUGACAAAUCUCAAUAAAGGACUUGUUCUUUAGCUGUUAUACACUGAUAGUUUUCACUGUCAUUAGGUACCCAGAAUGGCUCAAUUUGAUGAGUAAUAUUGUCCACCUCACACAUAUUACUUGCUGCCUACCAUGAGUCUUAAUUUUUUUAAGAGUAGGCUAUUUCUUAUUGGCUUUAAAACAAAAUCUGUUUCUCCUUAACAAUUUUGCCCUUUUAUCCUGAUGAUUCACUUCAUGUUUUACUUUAGUCUGUUUGGACUGAAAUUUUUGGAAGACUACAAAAUAAAAAAUGCCAUUUUUAGAACUUUGGUCUACAGAUUUAUGCAAAGAUUGGGGUCUUGAUGGGUGUAUUUGUCUGUUCUCACAUUGCUAUAAAGAAAUACCUGAGACUGGGUAAUUUAUAAAGAAAAGAGGUUUAAUUGGCUCAUGAUACUGCAGGGUGUAUAGGAAGCAUGAUGCUGGCAUCUGCUCAGCUCCUGGGGAGACCUCAGGAAAUUUACAACCAUGGCAGAAGGCAAAGGGGGUGCCAGAGGUGAAGGGGGAGCAGACUCCUCACAUGGCCAGAGUAAGAGCAAGAGAGACCUCAAAGGUGGAGGUGCCACACACUUUUAAACAACCAGAUCUCACAAGAAUUCACUCACUAUCACAAGAACAGCACCAAGAGGAUAGUGCUAAGCCAUUCAUGAGAAAGCCACCCCCAUGAUCCAGUCACCUCCCAUCAGACCCCACAUCCAACACUGGGGAUUACAAUUCUGUAUGAGAUUUGGGUGGGGACACAGAUCCAAACUAUAUCAAUGGGAUUAAUUUGCUUGCUUCUUUUCAUUAAAAACAUAAGUACUUUUUUUCAUUGUUCAACAUGUAAAUGCAUGCCUAAAAAGCUCACAGAAGUUAACAUGCCUUGGACUUCAGAAAAUAAUCCAAGAACUGCAUGCACCAAAUAAUAGGCACAUUGCAAACGUCACUGCCAAUCAACUGCUUUCUCUUUCCUGAUGGAGGCAUGCUGAUGUUUGGUGGGGCUCCCCAAUUGACACUUGUCUCAUAAGUUUUUAAGUCAAACUAAUGCAAGAGGAAUGGCCACUUGACCACUAUAUACCUGGAUUAUAUUUAUCUUUUCUAACUUUUGAUUAACUUAAAUAAAAAUUAAGUCUUUGGAAUCCUUAUUUAUAUAAUCUAUUUCAAAAGGCAUUCAUUUCAGCUGUAUAUUAAUAUCCUUAAAUAGACAUAUUUAAACAACAUACAGACUGUUAGCACAGGUGUUCUCAACCUCAACCCUGGCUGUAUGGUAGAAUCACCAGUGAUGAUAUUUUUUAAAUAUUGAGAUCCCAGGCCCACCUGAAAAAAGUAAAUUAGAAUCUCAGAUGUGGGGCUCUGAUUUUAUACAGGUAUGUUUUCAAACCUCCCCAGGUGGUUCUAACAUGUAGAUCAGGGGCUUAAAACCCUGGAUUGGGUGCAAUGUUUUUCAAAUCACCAUCCGAGAGAACCCCCACGCAGAGUGACCUCGAGUACUUGUUAAAUUACUAUUGAAUGCCUAGAUUGGAAAUAGUGAGAUCUGUAAGUUACAACACUUGCCCUUAGGGAUCUCACAGAAUAAUAAGGUAAACUACCAAAAAGUCAUUACUACAAUGCACUAUAGGAAAUGGUGUAAUAGUAAUAAAAGCAAGGAUUGAUGAGGAUGAAUGGAUGCUAAAGCCCAAGCUCUACCUAGUUCCCAAAGCCUCUGGGCAGAGAGAGAUGCAGGGCUAAAAGUCUUAAGUUAAUGUCAUCUUAAGGUGAAUUGUAUCCUUCCAAACUUAUCCUGGUUUUGUUUUUUUCAUACAUUGGUCUAAAUCACCCCUCCUUGUCAUGGUCUCGUCCAUAUCUAGAUUCUUUAUUCCCUUAUUAUCAAUCUCUAAUCAUGUUAAUUCUCUAUAUCAGUUUAUUUAGCUUACUUCUAAAGUAAAUACUCUUGCAGUACUGCCCUGGGAUUCUGGCAGCUGGCACAAAUCAAAAAUUGUGAGUUUUGUACCACUGGAAUGUCUAAACUAUAUUUUAAUUCUUAUGUGGUCCCACUGAAAUGUCAAUAGGUUAUGAAUAUUCACAAAAUUUUGGUUUGCUGUAACUUCUCUUACAAAAACUAAUGUGGUAAUGCUAAGUCAAAUAAGCCAAUGCAGAAAGACAUGAUUACAUGAUCUUACAUGUGGAAUCUAGAAAAGCCAAAAUCAUAGAAACAGAGUAAAAUGGUGGCUGCCAGGGGCUGCAGGGUGGGGGAAAUGGGGAGACACUGAUCAAAGUGUACAAACUUUCAGUUAUAACAUGACCAAGUUCUAUGGAGCUAAUGGACAGCAUGAGUAGUGGUGGAGGUGUUAACCAAUUUGAUUGUGGCAAUUAUUACACAUAUAUCAAAUCAUCACAUUGUACUCUUUGAACAUAUACGAUUUUUACUUGUCAAUUAAAUAUUUAAAAUUUAAAAAUAGUUAAAAAUAAUAAUGUGGCACGUAGUAUGUAAUAGUUUUUAUUCUUUUAAGACUGUUUCCCAAGCUGUGUUCCAAGGAGAAGUUCCAGAAGAUGUUAGUAGAUAUUGUACUAAAAAAUAAUUCUAUGCUUCAGUAAGUUUGUAUAUAAAGGAAUAAAUAGGCUACUUUACUCGAAAAAUUCUCAGAGACUUUAGUAUGCCAACAAACAUUGUGAAUUUUUUGGAGCACAUUGGAUGCAGUGGCUCUCAAACCUAUUUGACUAUGAAAAUGAGUUUUGUUGUUGUUGUUGUAUAUAUAUAUAUAUAUAUAUAUAUAUACUUUAAGUUCUGGGAUACUGUUAGUUUAUUUUUAAGAAAUACAGCCAUUGUCAUCCAGGGACAUUCUGUUUCUUUAGAUGACUGAUGAUGUCUAGUACAAUAGAUUAUGAAUAUGAAAGAUCCCCCAACAAAUGGCUCUCCAUCAGAAAAGAAACACUCUUGAAAGUAAACAUAGAUAUUUGUAGUUUACAAACUGCAUUUGUGUGGCUGAAGUGAUAACUUAUUCCAGUGCAUUGAUGGGACACAGUGAAUUACCCUGUUAAGCUGUGUAUUGUGACCUAGAGAGGCCUUGAACAUGCAUGGCCCUGAUCUACCUAAGAAGAGCCUGCUGGGCCGGGCACGGUGGCUCACGCCUGUAAUCCCAGCACUUUGGGAGGCCGAGGUGGGUGGAUCACGAGGACAGGAGAUCGAGACCAUCCUGGCUAACAUGGUGGAACCCCGUCUCUACUAAAAAUACAAAAAAUUAGCUGGGCAUGGUGGCAGGCGCCUGUAGUCCCAACUACGGGAGGCUGAGGCAGGAGAAUGGCGUAAACCCGGGAGGCAGAGCUUACAGUGAGCCGAGAUAGCGCCACUGCACUCCAGCCUGGGCAACAGAGCGAGACUCCGUCUCAAAAACAAAACAAGAGUCUGCAGCCCUGGGGCUGGUCUUCUCCCACUUGAGUCCACUCCCCCUUUUCAGCCUUUUGAGUUUUGUUAACACUCUUCCCUUUCCUCUUCUCCAGCUGCUCCCUCUAUCUGUGGAGAGAUACAGACAUACAGACAUUUAACUGUGAAAAAGGUAAAAGCAGGCACAGUGCGAAAAGACUGGCAAAGAGAAACAGAGAUGGAGGUGAGGAGUUAAUAGUAAAGACAGAGGAGAGAGACACGCUGACCACAGGCCUCUAACAGCCAUCUUUCAACAUGCAUGCCGUGGUUGUUUAUCCUGUGGUCAGACGACAUGUCAUGUGGCAUGCAAGUCACUUUAAGCCCUGACAUCAGAAAGACUUCCACAUUGCAAGGGAGGGUUAGCAAUAAAGAAUAGCAUUGUCCGCUUUCUUGCGAUGAGAUGAAGACAGUUUUGGAAGCUCCUUAGGAAAGUUCUAAACAGACAAGCUUUUCCUUUUCUUUGUCAUAUUUCCCACUGUCAGACUCCAUGCAUCUACAAUCUUAGUUUAUAUUCCUAGCAAGAACAAAGCUGUAUUUAACUUCCUUCUGUAGACAUUAUCACUGCAUUGUUAAUAAAGAAGGGAAGAAAUAAGCUCAGAAGCUCAGAAAACACUCGAUGGAUGAGUGGAACACAAGACACUGCAGACAGAAGUGAGCAAAUUUCAAAAGAAAACCUUUCUGCAGGUGCAUUACUUAGAAUUACCUUCAGAUGUGAGUGACAAAGAACCCAAGAUAACAGUGGUUUAGACGAGAUUGAAUUUUAUUUCUCUCUCAUGUAGAAAUGCAGGUAGGUGGUCUGGGGCUGAUAUGGUGAUAUGGUGUUCCACACACCUUGUUUCUUUUCUGUGAGGCUGAGACAUGUAGUUUUGACCACCUCAUGCUUCAAAAUGCUAGCAUCUGCAUGCUAAGGAAUAGGAUGAAAAAAGCAAUUAAAGAGAGGAAGAGGGGAAGAGAAAAAGGGCACAUGUGUGCUGUCCUCUCAGGAAGGUUUCUGGAACAACUAUACAACCUUCUAUUUACAACCCAUUGGCCAGAACUCACACAGCCAUACCUAGCUGCAGGAGAGUCUGAAAAAAAACAAUCUUUGUUCUGGGAAGCCAUUUGUUCAGUCAAAACCUGAGCUCAUUUACAAUGGUAGAAUGGGACAAAUGAUAUGAGGGAGGAUGCCGUAGACUGUACAAUUCUCACAAAAAUGUUUGGCCCCUCAUUUGCCACUAACGUCAUAUUCGGCCCUGUGAUUUGCUUUAGACAAUGAGAUAUAAGGCAAAGCUUUAAGAGCUGAGUGAUGGUUUACCAUGUCCUCUUUCUCCCAUGCCCUGAGAUUGGCAACAUGUCAGAGGCUGUUCGGCCACUCGGGUCCUGGAUAUGAUGACGUGAAGCACAGCUGCCACUAACCUAUCACAGAUAUGAGACACCAGUGGAAAAUAGAGCUCUGUGAUCGGAAGCCACUGAGAUUUGGGGACAUUUGUUACUGCAGCAUAACCGAACUCAGUGAUUCUCAAAGUGCAAUUCCGAAACCAUUAGCAUCAGCAUCACUAGGGAAUUGGUUAGAAUGCAAAUGCUCAGCCUCAACCUGAACUUACUGAAUUAGAAACAUGAGCAGCACCCAGCAAUCAGUGGUUUAACAAGUCCUUCCUUCUUAAACCAAGAGAGAUUCUAAAUUGGGCUAAGUGUGACAGCCAGUGCUCUGGCCUAUUUAGACAGAUACAGGGGGGACUGACUAUCUCUAUCACACAUGAAGGCAAAAACAGGGAGAAGGGGUUGCCAUCUGUUCCUCCAGAGAGGAGAGAGAGAAGCAGCAGAUUCAGUGACUACAACAGGGGAAGCGGCAUCUUCCUGUCAUUUGGUGUGACCUUAGCCCUAAAGGAAGAGACCACAGCUACAGAAGUUGUGAAUCACAACUCUUCAUUCCAGUGAGAAAUCCAGUUAUUGCAAGAAGAGAAACGGUUACUCCCAUAGGCUUGAAGCUGCAGGAGUGGAGCCAUACCUUAGAAAUCUAUGUCUUACUUCUUUGACCUUAUGGCACCCUAUUGUUAUAGCUGGAGUGCACACAAAGCACUAAAACAACGUAUCUUGAACAUGAAAGUAACUUGCCCUAUUAAAUGGCCUAUAUCUGACUUUUUCCAGACAAUACCACCUCAAAACAGUUGAGACACCCUAGGUUGUUCCAAAACAUGGCUGACAUGUGGGUCAAUAUACAGUGUCUGCAUCCUGCUGAGAGCAGGAUCUGAGGCUGGCCCCAGAAAUUGCCAGGCUGUGGCUCUGCAGGGCUGGAAAUGAGCAAUGGAUACAUCCUCACAGAAAGCCUUCAGUGCCCAUUUUCCACUCCCUGUCAGAACGUCCACAUUGUCUGGAUUACUCUGAUCUAUCAAGCAGAACUCCAUGCUCUAGAUGUUUUCUAACUAUCCACCUUCCUCCCAGUUCUCACUCUCUCAAGACUCCAGGUGAGGAGUCAUGAGAGAAAUAGGCUGAAACCAAGAUGUAUGCUGCGUGUGGCUCUUCUAGAUGUAGGGUUUUCUCAACCCUGCCAACCUAUAAAUGAGAGUGCCCUCUGCACAGGUGUUAGGAGAUGUUCACAGGAUUAAGCCUCCCAUAGACCACGAUGGGAAAUCCAGUCAAAGCAGGGUGUGGUGCUUGAGCCCAGAAACCUCGGCAAGUAGAGGAGAGGUGGCACUGAUAUCCCUCCUCACUCCAGGCAAGUGAAUGUAUUUCCUCCUCUGGGUUUGUGAGAAAUUCAGGUUUGAAAAAAAAAUACCAAAUAACCCUAAUGAGGUGGCAAUUUACCUUGAAUUGGCAAUAUUCUACAUACAUUUGCCUCACAGUGUGAACCAAGCAAACCUCUCCAUUGCAUGAAGGAGCAAGCACCUCAUUUGCUGCCCUAGGCUGAAUAGUUGCCAUACUUAAAAGAACAAACACAAUUUCCCCAGGAUACAACUUUUCAUGUGCUACGGUCAGUUUUCACGCUAAGCUUUUCUAUUAGUUAUGUGGCAUUUUCCUUAGAGCCCACGUGGAACCCACACUGUCUCCGUCCUACUGAAUGCUCCUUGCAAAGAAGCCAAAUGUCCUGAACGCCAUGGGGGAAAAACACAGAGGAAACAGCUCCGGGCCUGACCCCUGAGCCUCUGUCCAGAGACAUCUCCAGGGCAGUUGCAGGGCCCAGAACAAAUCAUCCCCACCAUCCCCUGAUAUUUUUCUAUAAAGGAAAAUCAGAUUUGAGGGAAUCUCAAGGGCAGUAAUGAAGGGGGCAGAAAACCAGAAGAUGUCACACAAGCACAUCAUGAGGUUGACAGUAGGAACAAAGGAAGCUGGGCCGAAGGCAGGGAAGGAACCCAAACCCAGCGUCUCUUCUGCUUGUGGGUCUGAGAACUCCUGGGGUCUUCUGUUUAACACUGGUUACUCGGCCUUGACAGUGAAUUUUAAACCUUUAUUUUAGAUUCUUUCUUUCCUUGGGAACAAACGGUAUUGCUCUAAACUAUUUAGUAGCUGUGGGAAGACUAAGACAAAUAAGACAAAGGCAAGCAGCUUCCUGAAACUUCUGCCUGCCUGAAGGUAUUGUAUGUUGAGACCGAGGUGGGGGCCGGGGGCACGUGUUGGCCUACUUGGCUUUAUUGGGAUCAGUUCAUAGAAAUUUCUGGGCUCUGGGGCUGAUGAGCCAACAGAGGAGAGGUUCCUCCUGGAAUUCUGAGGUGAAAGAGAUCCUCCAAGCUACUCUGUUUUGGGGUGGCUUGCUGCAGUGACCUACCCAAUUAAACAUGGCCAUGCUAUGGAAAGGGUUGCCCACAGCUGGCUGAUGGCCCCCACAUGUCUGACCUCUUGCCAGCAUGCUCCCCAUCUGUCCCUGCCCUUUUCUUCCCCCAGGUUUCUAUGUCCCUAUCUCUUCUUGGACUGAUGUCUACUCACUCUUACAGGCAAUUUUUUUGGGCCUUUCUCAAUUGAUAACCUAGGCUGAACAACUGCAGUGACCUCUGUCACUGCCAUGAUUUUCUGCAGCUCACAUGAAUGAUUUAAAAACUACAUACCUGGGCGGGGCACAGUGACUCAUGCGUGUAAUCCCAGCACUUUGGGAGGCUGAGACGGGUGGAUCACGAGGUCAGGAGAUCGGGACCAUCCUGGCUAACACGGUGAAACCCGUCACUACUAAAAAUACAAAAAAAUUAGCCGGGUGUGGUGGCGGGUGCCUGUAGUCCCAGCUACUCGGGAGGCUGAGGCAGGAGAAUGGUGUGAACCCAGGAGGCGGACCUUGCAGUGAGCCGAGAUCACGCCACUGCACUCCAGCCUGGGUGACAGAGUGAGACUCCAUCUCAAACAAACAAACAAACAAAAAACAAACAAAAAACUACAUACCUCACCAAGUGCAGAGGCUCACACCUGUAAUCCCAGCAUUUUGGGAGCCUGAGACAGGAAAAUUACUUGAGACCUGUCUCUACAAAAUUACAGGAGUUUGAGACCUUGUCUCUACAAAAAUAAACUUAAAAAAUGUUUUAAAUUAUACACAUAUUCUAAUAAAGGCAAAUUAUUUUCUAUUUCUUAAUGUUUAUAUUUACAGUCAAAACUUUUAUAGCACCACAAAGGUAGAAUUCAGCUAAAGAUACUCACCUCCCAUCUCCAUCCCCACUAACCUCCCCCAGCCCAACUCUUCUUAUCCUAAUAGGGUCGGAUCAGUUCCCAUGCCUGGGAGGGGUGUGGGUGGCUUCCCUCCACAGCAUUGUGCUCAGUCCUAUGGUGAAACCCUCAAUCUAGCCUCUACCUUGCCUUUUGGCUGAAUUAUAUUUUCUACUAGAAGAAAUUGCAUGCUACCAUUAGAAGCUGUGCUGCCCAAGCCACUUCUGCUUGCAGGAAGAGUGAACAUUUUUGCAUGGUCCCUACCAUGUGGGUAAGAUCUCUGCCCCGUCUUCUUCCCAGCCUUGGAGCAUUACCCCUGGUUGCCCCAGAUGUUCUGGCUCAGAACUGCACUGAGGUGCGCUUUGUCCUCCCUUUGGUAUUUUCUUCUCUCCUAUUCUAUCUCACUUUUCCCACCUUUUUUGUCUCUCUGCCUCAUUUUCCUGUCCCUUGGUAAGCUAUUUCUCACUUCCUGUCUUCCUCUUCUUCCAGGUCAUUCCCCACCUUAUUAAAAAUGUUAUCAUUAAGUAAAGAACAUAAAGAAAAUGUUAUCAUUAAGCAAAGAACAGUGAAUAAGAGAAAGUUUCCAAACAGUGAAUUUUAUUUUUAAGAAGUCCAUAUUAUUAGCUGUGAGUCUAAUUGAUUUUAUUUCUGAUUUUUUAUUUUGAAAAAUUUCAAACCUACUAGAAAAUUGCCACAAUGGCACAAGGAACACACAUACAGCCCUUGCCUAUGUUGAUCAGUUGUAAACAUUUUGCCACAUUUGUCUUCUCUUUGUGUAUGUAUUUUCAUUAUUUUUAUCUUGCUGAACUAUUUGAGAACAUUGCAGAUAUCAUAACCCCUUAUUCCUAGAUACUUUCAACAUGUAUUUCUUAAGAACAAAAACAUUCUCUUGCAUAACCACAAUAUGAUUAUCAAAUGAAGAAAAUCUAAUAGUGGUACAAUGCUAUUAUCUAGUGAUCUAGCCCUGUGCAUCUAUUUAAAUAUUUGAAGGAAGAAUUUGCAUUUGGCUUUGGUUUACGUAAUCUGAAAUAGGAUUUUAUUGCAAUUUUACCAAAAUCCACCUCAAUAGAAAUGGGUGGUGGCCUCAAGGAAGUGCUUUUUACCCCUUAUUUCUUAAUUUAUUUCACUACAAGGUACAGAUAACACCAAUAGUAUCUAUCAACCAAAGGCAUUUAGUUGAUGAAAUGUAUUUUCAGCACGUUAAAAUAAUUCAAAAAGUAUCCAGGCACAUAUUCUAUACUCACAAAAACCAGUGCCUAAUUUGGAGAUAACUUCCACAGACUUUACAUGAUAUUUUGAUACAAAUUAAUUUUAUGAGGACUCAUAUUAAGGACCAUAACCAAUCUAGCUUUUUCCACAGAUUUAUUCACAUUAGGUAACCCAUUCAGAACGAGAACUAAGAUGAUGUUGAAUUGGAACUGAUAGCUCUUUGUUGUGUUUUAAAGGGAGAGAUGUGUGCUUAUACUGUACAUAUGUCAACAAGCAAGCGUACAACGUGCAACAUUGUUGGUUUAAGAGCAUCUGUAUUCCUGAAUCCCAGACAAACAGCUCUGCCUGACAACAGCUGAAGUCCAAAGUUCGACCCGAGAUUGAUUGUACCAACAUGAUUGGAAUAAACCAAAAAAGAGAUGCCUUCCUGGUGACUCACCAAACCCAAACUGAUGCUUCUGGAAUUUGUACCUUUCCCAGUUUGGUUGUUUUCCUGCAACAUUAAGAGGCUAUCCAGUCUCUUGCCAAAAGGGAUUUGUCCUUUUUAUCUAGUCAGGAGAGUGCUUCAGCUAUUUGCAUUUCUGAAUUGCUUAGCUGCCCAAGCAUGCUCGGUGUGUGCUGUUUGAAAUGUGUCAUUGAGGCACGUGACUGCUGUUCUCAAGCUGAUGUUGGACUUUCUCCAACAAAUAUGGAUUAUGUUAAAGUCGGUUCUGAAUUGACGAGGAUAUGUUAAUAACUCCCAGAUGGGCAUCUCUGUGCUCUCCAGCAGGGAAAUGCAAGCAGUCCAUGGCAGGAGCAAGUGUUUGGCAGGUCCAUCAUUCCGUCAUUAAAGGCCACAUUAUUACUUACAACUGUGCUUGCAUGACAAUGGCUGCGAUGAGCCCAGCCUCGCAGUAAUGAGCACUAGGAAUCUGCUUUCAGGUAGAUUGUUUUCCAGGUGGUGAAAAAUAUUUUGUUUGAAAUUUCCCUCUUCCUAUUGCCAAAUAAGAAAUUACGAAUGAAUCAAGGGGGCAAGGUGGGAGGUGGAGGGGGGUCUAUGCUGUUCCUUAGAGACCAGGACAAGGCAAAGGUGUAUGCUCAGGGAUAUAUGCUCAGUAACCCUCAUGCCAAACAGCCUGAGCUGUGUCCCUCAGUGCCUAAUUCCUGCCCUAGCAAGUUCCAGUUGGAACAAUUAUUUACAUUAGGGUUGUUUACAAUGCGAUUGCAGUUUCCAUUAGAGGGCAAAGCUUCUUUGCCUUUGGUCCUUAAGCUACAACGUACGAUUGUUUCGCAGUUGUCUUUUUUUAAAAAGAAAUGAAAAAUGUGAAUCUCCUAUAAUUGUAUUGCCAGUCCAGGGGGAAACUGAGUAUAUUUGAUGUUAAAUUCCAAUGUGACAAGUGUUACAUAGGGGUAUUCAGUCCAUGCAUGAUGUGGUUAACACAAUUAAUUGUGACAAAAUUAGACAUUAAGAUGAAAGAGAAAAAUUUGACCCAAAAAAUCAUUUACGUAACUGUGUGUAAAUUUGCCAUAUUUUAGUAGAGUGGCGAGAGGCAGCAGGGUCUCCAUUUGCAAAGUAAAUGUUGCAUGUGCAUUGCUUUCAUUUAGAAUGUAAAAUAAUCUUUCAUCCCAAAAUAUAUGUUGUGAUGAGAAUGCCCGACAACGAUAAAAAGUAAUUGAAAACAUUCAAUUGCAAAUGAUGCACUUUCUCCUUUGCUUUGGUUCUCUUUUUCAUUAACAAGCAAUUCAGCCACAGAGAGUCCCCUUACUUUACAGUCAGGUAACUGGAUUUUAUGAUGUCAUUUCAUCUGCAUAGGCAUAUCUAUAUGUUCUUUUUUUUUUUUUCAGCAGCUCCAAGGAAUUUAAAAGUAUAAAACCACAUCUGCCAAUAACAUUAUGACGAACCAUUUAGGAUUUGGUUUUUUACAAGGCAGCAGCACUAAAUGUCAUCGAUUCCCAGCAUGCACUGGUAUAUUUUUAAUGCUAACAGUCAGGAUUUUAAAACAUUUCAUUUUAAGUCAUUUAAAAAUAUCUAAAGAUUAGCAAAAGAUUUCACAGAGCUUCUGCAUUGAGGCCUUCCUGAAGAGGGUUUAUAUGGGUGUGGGACCAUGAGUUAACAGUUUGGAUAUUCCAGAAGGGUGGAAAAAAGAUAAUCCAGCUUACACGGUUUACUGUAAGAGAUUGCAGCAAGGGCUCCCCAUAGACCGACGCCCUCUUUGGACUAUUUGCCCAGGGGAAGAAGAAUAUUGCCAAAACCUGGAUGCAAACUACCCCAGUCCUCUAUGUGUUACAACAUUAUGCUUCUUUAUGUGUGAAUAUCAUAAAGUAUCUAUAGUCUGAUAGUUCACCCAACCUUGAGAGGUUGUAUGUUUAUUAAAAAUACUUUCAGCUCACCCUCACAUUGAGCAAUGCAAAAGGGAGCCCAGUGGAUUUGGAUCCACUAACUCCAGUUCACAAUUGUUAGGCUCCCUUGACUGAGCUUGCCCAAGCAAUAAAAAGGGAGGGAUUUUCGCUUAAAGACACUUAAAAGACAAUUUUGCUUAAAUUGACCCUGGGUAUUUCUUUUCUUUUCUUUUUUUUUUAAUACUUUAAGUUCUGGGAUACAUGUGCAGAACUUGCAGGUUUGUUACAUAGGUAUACAUGUGCCAUUGUGGUUUGCUGUACUCAUCAACCCGUCAUCUACAUUAGGUAUUUCUCCUAAUGCUAUCCCUCCCCUUGCUCCCCACCCCUGACAGGCCCUGGUGUGUGAUGUUCCCCUCCCUGUGCCCAUAUGUUCUCAUUGUUCAACUCCCACUUAUGAGUGAGAACAUGCAGUGUUUGGCUUUCUGUUCUUGUGUUAGUUUGCUGAGAAUGAUGGUUUCCUGCUUCAUCCAUGUCCCUGCAAAGGACAUGAACUCAUUCCUUUUUAUGGCUGCAUAGUAUUCCAUGGUGUAUAAGGGCCACAUUUUCUUUAUCCAGUCUAUCAUUGAUGGACAUUUGGGUUGGUUUCAAGUCUUUGCUAUUGUGAAUAGUGCUGCAAUAAACAUACAUGUGCAUGUGACUUUAUAGUAGAAUGAUUUAUAAUCCUUUGGGUAUAUACCCAGUAAUGGGAUUGCUGGGUCAAAUGGUGUUUCUAGUUCUAGAUCCUUGAGGAAUCUCCACACUGUUUUCCACAAUGGUUGAACUAAUUUACACUCCCACUAACAGUGUAAAAGCAUUUCUAUUUCUUCACAUCUCCAGCAUCUGUUGUUUCCUGACUUUUUAAUGAUUGCCAUUCUAACUGGCAUGAGAUGGUAUCUCAUUGUGGUUUUGAUUUGCAGUUCUCUAAUGACCAGUGAUGAUGAUCUUUUUUUUCAUAUGUUUGUUGGCCACAUAAAUGUCUUCUUUUGAGGAGUAUCUGUUCAUAUCCUUCACCCACUUUUUGAUGGGGUGGUUUUUUUCUUGUAAAUUUGUUUAAGUUCCUUGUAGAUGCUGGAUAUUAGCCCUUUGUCAGAUGGAUAGAUUCCAAAAAUUUUCUCCCAUUCUGUAGGUUGCCUGUUCACUCUGAUGAUAGUUUCUUUUGCUGUGCAGAAGCUCUUUAGCUUAAUUAGAUCCCAUUUGUCAAUUUUGGCUUUUGUUUCCAUUGCUUUGGUUGUUUUAGUCAUCAAGUCUUUGCCCAUGCCUAUGUCCUGAAUGAUAUUGCCUAGGUUUUCUUCUAUGCUUUUUAUGGCUUUAGGUCUUACGUAUAAAUCUUUAAUCCAUCUUAAGUUAAUUUUUUUAUAAGGUGUAAGGAAGGGGUCCAGUUUCAGUUUUCUGCAUAUGGCUAGCCAGUUUUCCCAACACCAUUUAUUAAAUAGGGAAUUCUUUCCCCAUUGCUUAUUUUUGUCAGGUUUGUCAAAGAUCAGGUGGUUGUAGAUAUGUGGUGUUAUUUCUGAGGCCUCUGUUCUGUUCCAUUGGUCUAUGUAUCUGUUUUAGAACCAGUACCAUGCGGUUUUGGUUACUGUAGACUUGUAGUAUAGUUUGAAGUCAGGUAGUGUGAUGCCUCCAGCUUUGGAUACAACUUACAAGGGAUGUGAAGGACCUCUUCAAGGAGAACUACUAACCACUGCUCAAGGAAACAAGAGAGGACACAAACAAAUGGAAAAACAUUCCAUGCUCAUGGAUAGGAAGAAUGAUUAUUGUGAAAAUGGCCAUACUGCCCAAAUUAAUUUAUAGAUUCAAUGCCAUUCCCAUCAAGCUACCAUUGACUUUCUUCACAGAAUUAGAAAGAACUACUUUAAAUUUCAUAUGGAACCAAAAAAGAGCCCAUAUAGCCAAGACAAUCCUAAGCAAAAAGACCCUGGGUAUUUCAUAAGUCUUCAAAAUGUACUUUUGUACUAUUAAUAUUUCAUUAAAGAAUUUCAGUUAAUGAAUUUCUGUUUGCAGAAAGUUUGGGGAGUUGGCAGGUGUAAUAGAAAAUACAAGAUACUAUAUUUUAAUGGCCAUUAAGUUGAAACUUUCAAGGUACUAUAAGACCCCAGUUAGUUAGCUGAAUAUCACAAGUGGUUCAUCAUUGUCAUUAGGUAUUAAUUAGGCAGCUACAGAGUGCUAGACACUCUGCAAAACUCACAAAAACGACUGUCUCUGUUUGGGGGAAACUUACACUUCUGGGGGUGGUGAUCUUUGUUGUUGCUAUAUUACCAUUUGUAAUGAGCAUUCUUGGAAUGAAGGACUUGGUAUUUUGAAAGAGCUUUACGGUUUCUAAUUAUAGUCUCAAGAGCUCAUAGCACACAAUACUACAUUUACAGGAAAGGAAACCUACCCCCAAAGAUGUUAUGUGGCUGAUCUGCCAUUACAGUAAAGGCUUUUUGACACCCUUUUAAAUGUUAUGUCACCUUUGACAGAACAUAAUCUAACAACACAAAAAGGUAUGAAAUAGGAGAGUUUGAAGAAGAGAGCCUUUUGUGUAAAAGCACCAAUGCUAUUAAGAUCAGAGAUAAACACAGGUAAAGGAGUAAUGUUUUUAUUUCACCUUCUUUGUCCUUUACUACAUAAGACAAUAUUCUUCUCAUAAUGGCAUUCAACUUUCUGGAUGGUUAAAAAGAGGCUUAUAAGAGCAAUUGAAAGUAAUAUGGGCAUUUUAAUAUUGUGACACUUAAUGCUACAUAAAACCUUUGUUUCCUAUAGGUUUAUUGAACUGGUGUAUUAGAUUUCCUGCUGUAUGAGCAGGAAGAUUAUGGUGGCUUAGGUCUAAGUAUACUAUGGGGAGGCAUUUUGUAUUUUCUCUAUAAAUAGUCUUUCUAAAACAACACAAUUGUGUAACUAUUAAUGUUUAUAUUGCAUUAUACAUCUCCCAAAGUUUACUAUGCAUGGUAUAGAGUGUGGUAACCAAAGGAAAUGUUUUUAUCUAUGAAAUACACUGGGAAUUGUCAUUAUUAAAGUAAAUCUAUUUUAUUUAUUAUCUCAUCAGUAGGAUUUUCAUGCUUUGGUCUUACAUUAUGGUAUUAUGUCUAUAAGCUUCUAGAAGCUAAGCAUUUAAACGUACAUAUGCACAUACUGCAUGCAUGCAUGUAUAUAUCAUGUUUUGAAAUAAAAGCUAUAGCAGAACUAGAAGACUAAAUUUUCAAUGGAAAUAAUUACAUUUGGGUAAAUCCAAAACGGGCAGAAAAUUUGAAAAAUGUUGGUUUCAAGUGUGUGGUUUUCGUAGAUGAAAAAUUUGAUUAGACUAUUGUUCAGAGUGUGUGUCAAAGCUUGUUUUUCAUACUGAAAUAAUUUCUCAGGCUUAAUGAAAAUAACCAAAUCAUGAAUUCCCUUAUUAAAUGUGCAUUUUUCAAUAGCUAAUGCAGAAUCAACCUCAUAAGUGCAGGACAAAAUGUAGCCCUGCAAAAGUACAGCACAGAUUCCAACUUGGGUUACAAUUUUGUCCCAGUUCCUGGGGUAACAUAACCUAUGGUGAAAUUGUAUUUCUUUGUGUGAGUAAUUUAAUGAGCAAUUUCUUCAGAAUUUAUAAGAAAAAGGCCCCAGACCUAGCACUGCAGGUCCCCCCAGAGCCACUUUUCCUUCCAUACAUGAAUAGCCAGUUUCAUUAUGUUCAAAAGCAAAGCAAGAGAGAAACAAAUGGGGAGGGCUGUUACAUCCAAAGAAAUGAAAGAUUAUCUUCUCCAAGCAGCAGAAAUGAGAUGUAUUGGGCCUACCUUUGAAUCACUCUUAGCUUCAGAUGGAACAUGACGUAUGGGUAAUCUGCAAUUUGCUAGGGGCAUUGUUAGCAUGCAUCGCCUCCAGGGUAGGAUUUUAACCAGGCCUCCAGCAGCUGUGUGUUUGGCGUCUCAGCCACAUUAGGUAUACAGAACCCCACUGCUAUUACCCUGGUGAAACCCAUGCCAAGGCCUCUGGUGACACAAUGGAGGUAUUAGGUCAGAUGAGUUACAUUAAGUGGCAAGUGAUAAAUUCAAGAUGACAAUUCAAAACAGCAGUGUUUCUUCUAAGUAAUUAAUUCCAGUGGUGCCUGAGGCAGUGCUUGGUCGCUGCCACUGGUGUGGCAAUGCUGCGUAGCUAAUGAGAAAACAUUACAGUGAGGAUUAGGGGCCUGUGCAUUCUGGCAGGCUGAGGUCACUAUGAUUAGGAAAUAUUAACACAGACUUACUGUGAUAAACCAUACAAGCCCAGGAAACUUAAUUUUUAUUUUAUUAAUGUAAAAACUGUUGAACACUAUACAAUGUGGCGAUUCACUACGUGGGCUAGGGAGAGCAGUGACACAUUCCACCCAGGGUCUGGGACAGCCUCUCAGGGCCUGUUGGGAUGGUGACCAAGGCUUGCCAGGGCCACUCACAUUCUUUUCAUUCUUUUCUGCUGUCUGUGGAAACAGUGUCUUUGGCACAGAGGGAGGCUAUAAAAUUAUGGGCCUGUUUUAUUUUCCCAAAUAUGAUUUAAUGAAAACCUUUUGUUUUAUGACUCACCCUCCUUGCUUAAGAGAUUACUCUGAAAUAGUUAUAUGGUGAUCUUGUCAAGCAAUGGACAAGGAGUUUACUUUCUCUUGCUAAGUCUGUCCUUGAAGAAGGAGUGAUAAGAGCACAUCAGAUUUCAUAGUGCUAUCUAAUUUUUAGAGGACUUGAUCACAUUUAUUCGGACUGCCAAACAAUCCUAUGAGCUAUGUGAAGGAUGUGUUGCCAUUCCAAUUCGAAACGUGAGAAACUCGAGGCCAGAGAGGUGAAGAGAAUGGGACAAGAUCACACAGGUUACACGUUUGGGCCAGAACUCAGCACCAAAAACAGCUAGUAUGUUGCUCCCGUGAACAUCACAUAGUGUGUGCAAAGCUAGCCACCAAAACAAUUUCCUGUAAAAUUCCCAAAGAAGAUUCUGCUGAGAACUCUUUUGUGCACAUACACAUGCGCACACACACACACACACACACACACACACACAAUGUGAAUUCAUCUCUAGUGAAGGACUUUUAGUUUGAGCAACUACAGAUGUCUUAUGGUGUAUUGGAUAUAUGACCUAUAAAAUACCUACUAAACACUUUGCCUUUGCACUGAAAAAUGAACUGCUCCUAGAGGUAAGGCUGCUUCCUUAUCACCUGCUGUAAAUUGGCUCUGGUGUUUGGUACUCAGAUUCGAUAUGUGCUCUGUCCACAGGUAUGCAUGUGAGUGAACGGAGAUGAGUAGAAAGGCCAUUAGCAACACGUGUUCCCUGAAAUGUUGAAGUGUCACCAAACACUCAGAUCUUAAUGGUCCAAGCUUCUUAGUUUAUUAAGAAGCUGAUUACAUUUUAGAGAAAAUAAGAAGAAUUAUAAGUACAGUACAUAUUUUUUAACUCUAUAGAAUACAUGAUAUUGAUCUUGCAUUGGUAACAAUGAAGUUUAGCUAGUUCCAUUUUCCAGAAUGAUAGAAAAUAAAUAAUGAAGCAAGCUCUUUCUUCAUGAUAGUAGAUGAGGAGGGCUCGAUUUCAACAAAGUAACAAUUAAAAACGGUUUGUAAUGAUGCAUAUGCAAUUCUUGGCAUCUUUGUAUAUGAAAGCAAAACUUAGGAAAAGUCAAUAUUUAGGAAAUAAACCUAUCUUUUAUUUAUAUAUUUUGAGCUGAAGAUGUGAAAAAGUGCUGAAGAGUUUGUACACAACCUUUUAUCAAUUCUAUGAUAAAAAUGUACAAGAGGCAUGACAAUGAGAGAUGGCUGAAUUAGUAAAGAAGUAGUGUAGUACUGAAGUCUGACCAUCCAUUUGUUCACAGUAGGAAAUAGUAAUUAACAUGUGAUUAAAGGCAAUGAAUUUGAAUGAACUGAAAUGAUUUUUAUCUUUAUUUUUAUAUUUUAAUCUUCAAAUAGUCUUACCUUUUUCUUAAGUUUCUAUGGUUGAACAAAAGAACAUUACAAGAAUCAUAUUAUGAAAGCUAAAAUCUACUGAGAACAAAAUAAAACUUUAGAAAUGUGUAGGAAGUCAUGGUUAAAAAUUAUGACCCUAAGCCAACUUCUAUCUUAGGGAAAGAGAGAAGACUGCAUUUUCUUUUUUAAGUGCUUAAAAAAAAAACCUUCUGUUUAAUUUAUAUUUAAUUUAUAUCCUACUGUUUAGAUGUUUAAUUUAUAUCCUACUGUUUAGAUGUCUAAUUUUAUCUGUAUGUUCAUAUUUAAGAACGUAAAAAUUCCUUUAGUCAAGAACUACAAAACACUGCUAAAAGAAAUCAUAGAUGACACAAACAAAUGCAAAAAUAUUCCAUGCUCGUGGAUUGGAAGAAACAUAUAGUUAAAAUGGCCCUACCACCCACAACACCUACAGAUUCAACGCUGUUUCUAAGUACCAAUGUCAUUUUUCACAGAAUUGGAAAAAGCUAUUCAAAAAUUCAUAAGGAACCAAAAAAGAGCUCAAAUACCCAAAGCAAUCCUAAGCAAAAAGAAGAAAGCUGGGAGGCAUCACCUGACUUCAAACUAUACUAUAAGAAUAUAGUAGGCCAGGCACAGUGGCUCACGCCUAUAAUCCCAGCACUUUCAGAGGCUGAGGCGGGUGGAUCAUGAGGUCAGGAGUUCAAGACAAGUCUGGCCAAGAUGAUGAAACCCCAUCUCUACUAAAAAUACAAAAAAAUUAGCCGGGCAUGGUGGCGGGCGUCUGUAAUCCCAGCUACUCGGAAGGCUGAGGCAGAGAAUUGCUUGAACCCAGGAGGUGGAGGUUGCAGUGAGCCGAGAUUGUGCCACUGCACUCCAGCCUGGGUGACAGAGUGAGACUCUGUCUCAAAAAAAAAAAAAAAAAAAAAUACAGUAACCAAAAUAGCAUGGUACUGGUACAAAAACAGACACAUAGAUCAAUGGAACAGAAUAAAGAACCCAGAAAUAAAGGUGCACACCUACAGCCAUCUAAUCUGUGACAAAGUCAACAAAAAUAAACAAUGGAGAAAGAACUCCCUAUUUAAUAAAUGUUGCUGUGAUAGCUGGCUAGCCAUAUGCAUAAGAAUGAAACUGAACUCCUACCUUUCAGUAUAUACAAAAUUUAACUCAAGAUGGAUUACAGAUUUAAAUGUAAGACCUCAAACUACAAGAAUGCUAGAAGAAAACCUAGGAAACACCACUCUGGAUGUUGGCCUUGGAAAAGAAUUUAUGACUAAGCCCUCAAAAGCAAUUGCAACAAAAACAAAAAUUCAGUAAGUAGGAUCUAAUUAAACUAAAGACCUUCACAGCAAAAGAAACUAUCAACAGAGUAAACAGACAACCUAAACAAUUGGAGAAAAUAUUUGCAAACUAUGCAUCUGAAAAAGGCCUAAUAUUCAGAAUCUAUACAGAACUUAAACAAUUCAACAAGCAAAAAACAAAUAGCUUCAUUAAAAAGUGAGCAAGACGUGAACAGACACUUCUCAAAAGAAGAUAUACAAGUGACUAACAGACAUAUAUAAAAAUGCUCCACGUCACUAAUUAUUGGAGAAAUGCAAAUCAAAACCACAAGAUACCAUCUCACACGAGUAAAAAUGCUUAUUAUUAAAAAGCCAAAAACCAACAGAUGUUGGCGAGGCUGCAGAAAAAAGGGAAGGCUUAUACACUGUUGGUGUGAAUGUAAAUUAGUUCAGCCACUGUGGAAAGCCAUUUGGGGAUUUCUCAAAUAACUUAAAACAGAACUACCUUACUGGGUACAUAUCCAAAAGAAAAUAAAUCAUUGACCAAAGAGUCAUAUGCACUCACAUGUUCUUCAAAGCACUAUUCACAAUAAAAAAGACACAGAAUGAACCCUAGGUGACCAUCAGUGGUGGACUGGGUAAAGAAAAUGUGAUACAUAUACACCAAAGAAUACUACACAGCCAUAAAAAGAACAAAAUCCUAUUUUUUGCAGCAACAUGGAUGCAGCCAUAGGCCAUUAUCCUAAAAAAAUUAACGCAGGAACAGAAAACCAAAUACUGUAUGUUCUCACUUAUAAGUGAGAGCUAAAUCUAGAUACUCAUGGGCAUAACAAUGGCAACAAUAGACACUAGGGACUACUAGGUGGGAAGAGAGAGAGUGAGGCAAGGAUUGAACUAACUGUUGUGUAUUAUGCUCCGUUUCAUACCCCAAAGCUCAGCAUCAUGCAAUAUACCCAUGUAACAAACCUGCACAUGUACCCUCUGAAUCUAAAUUAAGAGUUGAAAAUAAAAUAAAUAAAAUAAAAUAAUAAAGUAUUCCUUUAGUGAAGAGUGAAGUAAGUCCUCAUUUCAGGUUUUGGCUGGAAUGUUAAUAUUUUUGCAGCGACAAAUAAGUCUGAAAACAAAAGAUUUCUAAUUUGAAGCUUGUCACAUAUCUAAAUUACUAGACAGCUUUUAGUUACUUAAAACAAUACCAAGUCUUACAUAGAAAAGGUUCUAGAACAAAACUGUUAGUUCAUCUAGAUUCAAACCUGCUUUUUACCUCUUUUGAAUAAGCCACUUGGAUAUCACAGGCAAGCCUGAAACCUAUCACAAACCUGGCUAUUUCUACUUUGUUUCUGCCAACCACAGGAUUUCUCAAGGCCUCAUAUUUUAAAAUAUUUUCUGUUAUGAUAUGAGAGGAAGAGCACUGGACUGGGAGUUCAAGGAUUUGGCUUCCAGUUCUAAUCCCACUUCUGACUCACUGAAUGAACAGUGAGUUCAUAUUUUAGGCCUCAGUUUUCUAAUCUGUAAAAUGAGAGCGAAGGUUCCCAAACCUAAUAUCAAUCACAUGAUGUGCAUUUGCAAGGCCUUUUUAAAUUGUGUAAAGUUGUUUAUACAUUCUUUAAAUUAUAAGGGUAAUUUGUACUUAUUUUUAAAAACAAAACAAAACAAUCAGAAAACAUAAAGAAAAAAAUUAGUUCCUUUUUCACCAUACUUGCUUCCAGUCUCACUCUCCUGAGACAACCAAUGUUAAAUUUGGCAUUUGUAUCAGUUAGGAUUAGGCUUAGUUGCAUAUAAUUGAAAUAUACCAGACAACAAUGACUUAAACACAACACAGGCUUAUUUCUUCCACACCUAAAAGAUGUCCAGAUGUUCCCGUGUAAUAACAAGACAGGUAUGAUGGCUCCACGGUGUCAUAAGGGACUCAGGAUUCUGUCUUUACGUUCCACUAUCCUAGUUCAUGGCUGCCAUCCUCAAAGUCACCUCAUGAUCCAAAAUUGGCUGUUGGAACUUAAGCCAACAGAAACACAUUG